rnacentral:rRNA from 1 species
CGCGUAGGUGGUUGCGUAAGUCGGAUGUGAAAUCCUGAGGCUUAACCUCAGAACUGCAUCUGAUACUGCGUGACUCGAGUGCAGCAGAGGGAAACGGAAUUCCUGGUGUAGAGGUGAAAUUCGUAGAUAUCAGGAGGAACACCGGUGGCGAAGGCGGUUUCCUGGGCUGACACUGACACUGAGGCGCGAAAGCGUGGGUAGCAAACAGGAUUAGAUACCCUGGUAGUCCACGCUGUAAACGGUGAGUACUGGGUGUGGGAGGUGUAAUGCCUUCUGUGCCGAAGCUAACGCGUUAAGUACUCCGCCGUAGGGGAGUACGGCCGCAAGGUUGAA